CUGGGCGUAGCCAAGUGGUAUGGCGCUUGAUUUGGGUUCAAGAUCCCGGGAGUUCGAUUCUCUCCGCCCAGACCA
rnacentral:tRNA from 1 species